rnacentral:rRNA from 1 species
UGUCGUCAGCUCGUGUUGUGAAAUGUUGGGUUAAGUCCCGCAACGAGCGCAACCCUUAUCCUUUGUUGCCAGCGGUCCGGCCGGGAACUCAAAGGAGACUGCCAGUGAUAAACUGGAGGAAGGUGGGGAUGACGUCAAGUCAUCAUGGCCCUUACGACCAGGGCUACACACGUGCUACAAUGGCGCAUACAAAGAGAAGCGACCUCGCGAGAGCAAGCGGACCUCAUAAAGUGCGUCGUAGUCCGGAUUGGAGUCUGCAACUCGACU